rnacentral:miRNA from 1 species
AUAUGAUAUCACCCAGCACCAC